AACCAGCACCUCAAGUGGUCAGGAUGAUUAUUGGGCCUAAAGCAUCCGUAGCCUGUUCUGUAAGUUCUCGGUUAAAUCUAUGCGCUCAACGUAUAGGCUGCCGAAAAUACUGCAGAACUAGGGAGUGGGAGAGGUAGACGGUACUCGGUAGGAAGGGGUAAAAUCCUUUGAUCUAUUGAUGACCACCUGUGGCGAAGGCGGCCUUCUGGUCUGAUACUGACGCUGAGAUACGAAAGCCAGGGGAGCGAACGGG
rnacentral:rRNA from 1 species